CCCCUAGUACUGCGAGUGAGCGGGAAAAGCUCAAAUUUAAAAUCUGGUGGUCUUUGGCCAUCCGAGUUGUAAUUUAGAGAAGCGUCUUCCGCGCUGGACCGUGCACAAGUCUCCUGGAAUGGAGCGUCGUAGAGGGUGAGAAUCCCGUCUUUGGCACGGAUGCACCAGGGCUUCUGUGAUGCGCUCUCGAAGAGUCGAGUUGUUUGGGAAUGCAGCUCAAAAUGGGUGGUGAACUCCAUCUAAAGCUAAAUAUUGGCGAGAGACCGAUAGCGAACAAGUACCGUGAGGGAAAGAUGAAAAGCACUUUGGAAAGAGAGUGAAACAGUACGUGAAAUUGUUGAAAGGGAAACGCUUGAAGUCAGUCGCGUCGCCCGAGACUCAGCCUCGCCUCGGCUUGGUGUACUUCUCGGCCGACGGGUCAGCAUCAAUUUCGCCCCUUGGAUAAUGGCGAGGGAAAUGUGGCACCUUCACGGGUGUGUUAUAGUCUCUCGUCGCAUGCAAGGGUCGGGAUUGAGGAACUCAGCACGCGCCUUUCGGCGUCGGGGUUCGCCCACGAUACGUGCUUAGGAUGUUGGCGUAAUGGCUUUAAACGACCCGUCUUGAAACACGGACCAAGGAGUCUAACAUGCCCGCGAGUGUUCGGGUGGAAAACCCGUGCGCGCAAUGAAAGUGAAAGUUGGGACCUCUGUCGUGGAGGGCACCAACGCCCGGACCAGACCUUCUGUGACGGAUCUGCGGUAGAGCGUGUAUGUUAGGACCCGAAAGAUGGUGAACUAUGCCUGAAUAGGGUGAAGCCAGAGGAAACUCUGGUGGAGGCUCGUAGCGAUUCUGACGUGCAAAUCGAUCGUCAAAUUUGGGUAUAGGGGCGAAAGACUAAUCGAACCAUCUAGU
rnacentral:rRNA from 1 species